rnacentral:piRNA from 1 species
UGGGUGACACACCAGCAAGGUACAAAGAGU